rnacentral:rRNA from 1 species
GGGGAAUAUUGGACAAUGGAGGAAACUCUGAUCCAGCAAUUCUGUGUGCACGAAGAAGGUUUUCGGAUCGUAAAGUGCUUUAAGUUGGGAAGAAGGAAGUGACUGUACCAAUAGAAUAAGCGACGGCUAAAUACGUGCCAGCAGCCGCGGUAAUACGUAUGUCGCAAGCGUUAUCCGGAAUUAUUGGGCAUAAAGGGCAUCUAGGCGGGAUAUCAAGUCGACGGUGAAAACUAGUGGCUCAACCAUUAGCUGGCCGACGAAACUGGAAUUCUAGAGUGUUGGAAAGGUGGGCGGAACUACAUGAGUAGAGGUGAAAUUCGUAGAUAUAUGUAGGAAUGCCGAUGACGAAGGUAGCUCACUGGACAACAACUGACGCUGAAGUGCGAAAGCUAGGGGAGCAAAC